UGCGCUGUGGAGCAGUUGGAAGCUCGUCUGGCUCAUAACCAGGAGGUCGCAGGUUCGAAUCCUGUCAGCGCAACCA
rnacentral:tRNA from 1 species